GGGGCCACUUGCAAAACCCUGGUGGGUGGAGCCAGGCCAUGCUCACCCCACUCACCGGAAGUCAGUGGGCAGAACAGGAAGUACAAAAGGCGGGUCUGCAAGCUCAUUUGGGCUGCAGCUGCUGAAGGAGCCAAAUGUCUCCUACCCACUCCUGAACUGGGAGACUGCCAUGGAUCCCUGCGGUGCUGAGGACUGAUUGACGCUGCUAGAGCCACACACUAACCAAGCUGAGGAGGAGUUGCUGGGACUGCCGCUGGCCUUCUACCUGGGUGAUGCAGAGGACCCUGUACAGACCCAGCCAUUCUGCAAAGGAGGUAUCAGAAGGGCAAGUGGCAGAGAUCUGAGGUGGAUGAUGGAACAGCAGGCCCAACAUCAGCAGCAGAUCUUGAAGGAAGGAACCACAGCUCGACAGGAACAGCGGGCACAGCUCCCGGAGCAGAUGUUCCGAGCUUCUUAGUCCAGGGAUACCACCUAGACUAGUAGUAAGAGUGUCUAAGGGUAUGCUUACACCACACACGACAGUCACACCUUCGUUUGUGGUGUAGAUAUACCCUAAGCAGGGACGAGACGAUGACCCUGAGUCCUUCCCUGUCACCUUUCAGUGGGCAGCCAAGGCCACUUAGAGGGAGGAAGAGCCUUGGGCCAUUUACUUAGCUACUUUUCAUUAACAGGAGAGGCCCAAGCAGCACAUUGGGCUGUGGGCAGGGACACUGCCACCAAGGCCAUCAAAUCUACCAUUUUGGACUGGUUGGGAAUCUCAAGAGAAAAGUACUGGCAACAGUUAUAGAGGUUCCAUUCCCCCUUAGGCCUAUGAUUGGACGUUUCUGCCCAGAGGCUGACUGAAUGGAUGACUCUCUGGCUCAAGUCUUAAUCUCAGACAGUGAGAGAAUGGAGCUAUUUAGUUAUCCUAGACCCGUUUCUAGACAGUCUGACUAGGAGGGCAGACUGGUACAUCAGUACCAGCUGUCUAUGCCAGCAGAAGUUGCGUGACACACAGAGGCUACAUGCACAAUGAGAUGCCAAAGGGACUGCAAUGUCUGGGCAGUAGCUACGGCCAUGAAGGACUGAGAAAUAAGCAGAGAGAAAACAAAGGGAUUCAGGGACUCCAACAGGAGCCAGAAAGGACAUUCACCCAAUCUUUGAGCUGCAGUCAGAAUCUCCUGUGGCUGAGUUUAAAAAGUCAAACCCCAGGGAGGACAAGUUUGGCUCUCCCUAGUGUGUGGACUGUGCUUGAGAGCAGACUAGGAUGGCACCUGGUCACACAGCUAUCAGGGAGCGAGUGGAAAACCUGGAUGGAAGAAAGGCAAUAAAAUGAUAUCCACAGCUCUUGUUUCUGUCAUUUAUAUCACGUGGUCUUCUGCAGCUAUGAAAUGUGAUGAUUACUCGGAUGCUUAGUUAAGAGCACCCUAGGGACCAAUCCUGCUUCCAAAAAAGUAAGGAAAAAACUCCCAUUGAAUUAAAUAGGAACAGGAGCAGCAGCCUUGUUGAUCAUACACUACAAGUAGUUUAAAUUGUCUGAAGUGGAUGAACAGUAGUUUUCUCUCCAACUUUGGUUUGUUUUCUAUUUUAUCAUUGCAAGGGAAUUUUCAUGAAAGUUAUUGUGUAAAAUAGUCAUUUGCCAAUGGGAAGAAUUUUUCAUUUCCCUCUUAAAAGACAAUAAAAAACAGCCUCUUUA